CAUUGAGUGACUGAAAGUAAGUAAUGGUCUCUUAAACCAAACUAUGGUAAGUUAACAACUACCCUUAAUGA
rnacentral:tRNA from 1 species